AUCUAUCUAUCUAUCUAUCUAUUCAUCUGUUUUCUUUUCUUUUAUUUUUUUUUAAAUGUCGGGAAAAAGGGGAAUGUCGGGAAGAAGGAAAAGGAAGG
rnacentral:ribozyme from 12 species